GGCUGUGGCUCAGUGGCAGAGAAUGUGUUUUGCAUGCAAAAGGUCCCGGGUUCUAUUCCUGGCAUCCCCA
rnacentral:tRNA from 1 species